rnacentral:rRNA from 1 species
CUACGGGGUGCACCAGUGAGGAAUAUUGCACAAUGGGGGGAACCCUGAUGCGGCAACGCCGCGUGGAGGAUGACGCAUUUCGGUGUGUAAACUCCUUUUAUAUGUCAAGAAAAUGACGGUAGCAUAUGAAUAAGCACCGGCUAACUCCGUGCCAGCAGCCGCGGUAAUACGGAGGGUGCGAGCGUUACUCGGAAUCACUGGGCGUAAAGGACGCGUAGGCGGGUUGGAAAGUCAGGUGUGAAAUCCUACAGCUUAACUGUAGAACUGCACUUGAAACUUCUAAUCUAGAGUAUGGGAGGGGGAGAUGGAAUUAGUGGUGUAGGGGUAAUAUCCGUAGAUAUCACUAGGAAUACCUAAAGCGAAGGCGAUCUCCUGGAACAUUACUGACGCUAAGGCGUGAAAGCGUGGGGAGCAAACAGGAUUAGAUACCCUUGUAGUC